rnacentral:tRNA from 1 species
CAAAAGGUAGUUUAACAAAAACAUUAACUUUGGAAGUUAAAGAUGUUUAUAACUCUUUUGA